GGCCCCAUCGUCUAGAGGCCUAGGACAGUAGGUUUUCAGCCUAUUAACCCGAGUUCGAAUCUCGGUGGGGUCA
rfam:Microgenomates (Roizmanbacteria) bacterium GW2011_GWA2_35_19 TR68_C0016, whole genome shotgun sequence.